ACAGAAAUAUAAACACACCGUGUAAAAGCGGUAUAUAAUUUUCACAUAAAUCCUAUAGUAAAUAAAUCCCGUAGAGUGGAGUAAUGCAGCACAAGUUUCCCACCGGGAAUAAGUAUGAACUAUAUUUGUGACAUUAAUAACAUGUCUUAAACCGUCAUAUGGAACGAAGCAUUUCUUCUCGACAGAACGUCAACGCCUCGUACAGCGGUGUAAGGAUGUAAGUCUUUGCCAGCGAUAAAUAACUGGUGGGUGAAAAAUUGUCCCGCGCACGGAUCCGUCGCUUACCUGGAGUUUCGACCCCACAACGGAAAAAGGUCAACUUUCUGAUUCCUGGUCAGUUGUCAGAUUCAAUAUCAUUUUGUCAACUUGAAGUGGGAGAAUUUAAUAAAUGAUAUAUAUUUUG
rnacentral:sRNA from 1 species